AACGAACGCUGGCGGCAGGCUUAACACAUGCAAGUCGAGCGCCCCGCAAGGGGAGCGGCAGACGAGUGAGUAACGCGUGGGAAUCUACCCUUGACUACGGAAUAACGCAGGGAAACUUGUGCUAAUACCGUAUGUGUCCUUCGGAGAAAGAUUAUCGGUCAAGGAUGAGCCGCGUAAGAUUAGCUAGUUGGUGGGGUAAU
rnacentral:rRNA from 1 species